UGGUAUUUUUUGAUUUUAUACGAAUUUUUGUUCUUAGCUAUGCGGCUAUUGGUACAUCGACCCUAUUAUUGUCUGCACUUCUGCACAGAUGUGGAUUAUUUUUUCCAUGCACAUUUAAGGCUCGUUUGGGCAUUUCAUUAGCCUUUAUCGAUUUUGAGCGAAUUUAAACUAUAGCUUUUGAGGGUUCAAUACAAUAAAUCAAGGAUGUUUCAGAUAUUAUAAGUUUAGAAAUUUAUACACUCAAUGGGCCAUUAGUAGCUCAACAUGGCCCGUCUUUCACUACGAGAAUUGCUUCUUAAAAGCUGAUCAUAUGUGUUGGCCUACCCCAUUAGGCCAGCGCGUUAGUCUAUAACCGUAAUCUCUAUAUUGUCCGCAACCUUGCGAGCAAGUCCACAGCUUGGUAGUAUGGAUGAGGAGUGACAGGUACGCGCCCUGUCACCAGGUGAGUCGACAGAUCAGGCAGAAAAACAAACCAUUGUACAAUACAAGUUAAAAGGCGUGGACUUGAUUCUUAGUUAAAGCAGAUUAAACACUAGUGAAAAUAACUUAAAAUUGAACUUAAAACUAGUGAAACAAAGGAGUUAUAUUAAAGUUAUACUUACUAACUAGGUAACCUACAUUACUACGAGCUACAUCUAAACGAACAUUAACAGUGCAGUGCCCAUAACGAUUGUGCUGAGGUCACUAUAUACCCUCGAAAGUUGCCUACAUCAAAGCGCAAAUUACGGAAUUCGAACUCAUAAGACUGAAAGGUUAGGAAAAUAGACAUUUGACCGACAUCAGACUGACAUUUGAGCAGGAAAGGGAACUAAACGUAAGUAAAAUUACUGAAAAACUUAUUUUCCUAAAACACAAACAUAAAAAUUUGAACCCUCUGAAAUGGGAUACAGAGGUUCACCUAACGCACUCCACGUAGCACACAACCAAUAUGAAUUAU